rnacentral:rRNA from 1 species
UUCCGGUUGAUCCCGCCGGAAGUCACUGCUAUCGGGGUUCGAUUAAGCCAUGCGAGUCGAGAGGGUUCGGCCCUCGGCGUACUGCUCAGUAACACGUGGAUAACCUGCCCUAGGGAAGGGGAUAACCCCGGGAAACUGGGGAUAAUACCCUAUAGGUUACAGAUGCUGGAAUGCUCUGUAAUCAAAAGUUCCGGCGCCCUAGGAUGGAUCUGCGGCCGAUUAGGUUGUUGUUGGGGUAAUGGCCCAACAAGCCAGUAAUCGGUACGGGUUGUGGGAGCAAGAGCCCGGAGUUGGAUUCUGAGACACGAAUCCAGGCCCUACGGGGCGCAGCAGGCGCGAAAACUUUACAAUGCGGGCAACCGUGAUAAGGGAACCUCGAGUGCCUGUAAAUGCAGGCUGUUCAGAUGCCUAAAACACAUCUGGAGAAAGGGCCGGGCAAGACCGGUGCCAGCCGCCGCGGUAAUACCGGCGGCUCGAGUGGUGGCCACUUUUAUUGGGCUUAAAGCGUUCGUAGCUGGGUUGUUAAGUCUCUUGGGAAAUCUGGCGGCUUAACCGUCAGGCGUCUAAGGGAUACUGGCAAUCUUGAAACCGGGAGAGGUGAGGGGUACUUCGGGGGUAGGAGUGAAAUCCUGUAAUCCUCGAGGGAGCACCUGUGGCGAAGGCGCCUCACCAGAACGGCUUUCGACAGUAAGGGACGAAAGGUGGGGGGACAAACCGGAUUAGAUACCCCCGGUAGUCCCAGCCCCUAAACUAUGCGCGUCAGGUGUUCGGGUGACCGCGACUUUCCUAAGGUGCGGAAGGGAAAACCGUGAAAACGUGACCCCGGGAAGUGGGGUGCAAGGCUUGAAACUAAAAGGAAUGACCGG